AACUAAGUUUGUUAUUGGUAUGAGCUUUCGUGUGCAUGCACACUUCUUCAGUGUGUCUUAAGAGGUGUGCAUGCACACGAAAGCUCAUACCAAUAACAAACUUAGUUGG